CCUGCCAAGCCUCUCAUUGCGAUGCUCAAAUGGGCAGGU
rnacentral:sRNA from 1 species